AUGGGGCACAAGUCGGGAGGGAUGGGGAGGGUUUGUCUCUCAUGCAAGCUGGUUUUGUUUACUUCUUCAUGCCACUCUCUCACCCACUCUGCAUUUCUCAUGUAUGUUUUCAGCAGACUCCACGUAGUUUUCAGGUGCGUGCUGCUGCUACUUCCUUGCUCGACUACAGUUUGUUCUUUUCUGCAACUUUUACUGGACUUGAACGAGAUAUCCAUGUUCUGUACCUUUGUGACCAUCUCCGACUCUGUCAUCCCCUUUUGUUCAGAAGGCUCACUGGUGUUGCAAUACUCCAUCAUCCCAGCACUGCAAACAGCCAUGGUGGUACCUGCCAUCACCCACAUAGAGACCAUCCUGCAUGGUGCUGGGUGGCCAAGCAGCACCUUGGCGUGGGGCCAGCCCAGUUCUGAGGAUCUCUUCUGGGCAUCUUUCUCUGAUGAGGCAUGUCCCAGUUUGCCUCCUAAUGCCCAAUGUCCCCGUGACCAAGGGGGAUUAUAACAUCUCACGGGUGGUGCUCCAGGCUGGGCCUUGGUGGGAGCUGCAGUACCUUCGGAGUAAAACAAGGCAGAUUGAGGAAAACUGGGAUCAGACCUUCAAAGGCUCAGUACGAACUGGCCAAGGUUCAACCUCCCCCAUUGACAGUGGGUUGUUGUUUUUAACUCACAGUCAGCUUUAUACAUCUGCACUGAAAAGUCUUGACUGAUGCUCAAGGGAAGAUGCUUUGUUGAUUCUACUAUAAAACAAGGACUUCUGCAGAUCAUCUCUCAGCAAAUUGGGCAGCUUCCCUUCACAACUGAUCCUGGUACUUGCUUUAUUUCAUGCUAUAUGGUCUAUGGUUUCAGUGAAAGAGAUGAUGUGUGGAUUGAUAGGUGGAAAGUGUUAUCUUCUAAUUGUGUUUGUGAAAAGGCCGGGAUCCUGAUUCCUUCUGGGGCCACAAGACAUCACUAGAAUGACAGCUCCACAGUAUAUGCAGCAAAGAUAGCAAUUACAUAGAUGUCAGAAGGAAAGGAGUUGCCAGCUUAGUACAGAACAGUGUUAACACCUUAGUUUUUUUUAAAUUUGAAAUAAUAUUUAACUGUGUCUCUAGAUUCAUCAGGGCCAUUCUUUGGGGAAGUACUCAUUCAAAUCUUUGCAUAUGUCAUUUUACCUCGUUACACACACCAACAUAAAGGUUCAGUGUCAGAAAAUCUCCGAGCUGCAGACUGGAGCUCGGUGUUGCCAUACUGCUCACCCCUCUCCUGCUCUGUUUGCAUCUGUUCUUGACAGCACUCAGCCAGGCUUAUGGGCUCCACAGACCAGACACUCCAGUGUUCUUCGUGGCCUGGCUGGAGGGUUUAGCCUGAUCUCUAUCUGGCUUGUUCUUCACAAGUGGUACUUGCAAAGGAACACAGACUCACUGCAACAAGCCCCUUUCUCAUAACACUCAGAAGAGCAGAAAAGCAGAGUAAAUCUAUGUCCAGAGCAAUAGAAGUAAUAAAGAGAUUUUUUUUUCCUUUCCCA
rnacentral:lncRNA from 1 species